CUGCAAUGAUGACACACUAUCCGCGCUUCCGAGGCUCACGCCCCUGAAGAUAAGGAUUAUUGGUUGAAUUUCUUCGUCUGAGCAA
rnacentral:snoRNA from 1 species